CCCUGCUGUGAGGGCUCCUGGUGCUGCUCUUCUUUUACGUGUGUGCAGCUCUUGCUGCUUCGACUCUGCUAGCAUGUGCUGCAGCGCUUUCUUUCUCUGCCUGCGGGUGCCUUCAGCAGGUUAUUGGUCACCGUGGAUCACCGUGGAUCAGCAGCAACGUCGCAGUCAAAAUAUUCGUCAGGAAAAUCGGCAUAUUCUAGCAUCUGGAGGGGACGCGCCCAGUUGGAUAACCACAAAAGUCACGCAUCAGAUCGGACCCACGUGAUGUGUGCGACGUGCAGAAAAAUGAAGAUUCGUGCUGAAGUCAGAGCCUGAGAGGUGCGUUCCGAGUUCAUCAUUCUCUCUUUAUCUUGUGUUGCUCUUGCCUGGCUCCUCAAGCAAUCAACGUCGUAUCAUGAAAUCCCUGCUCUAUUCUCCAUCCUAAUGGAUUCAAGCACAUGACCAUCUGAAUCGGAUUUGAUCCGUAACAUCUCAUCAAGAAAUAUAGGUACAUAUCAUUUUUCAGCAUUGCUCUCAAGUGUUGACAAGAUUAUGCUCUGUAGACUGUAGGUAGAAGAUGAGAGCCAGCCUGGGUGGUCUGCAUCGCCUUUAGCGGUACCCUGUUCAUGCAUUCACCAUCCAGCCAGUUUCCUUUAAUGUUAAUAGGAAGCUUUACAUUUUCCCCAUAUCAGCCCAUGUUAGCCAGCGUAAUUAGUUGAUGUUUCCUAUGAAGUUGUUUGAGAUUAAUGGUUGUUGUUGUCGCCCCUUUUUUGUUUGGAUUUAUCUUCUCUUGAUAAUUUAUCUAUUGAGUGUCUUCCUCAGUUGGCUGCUAUGCAUAUGCCCUGCAACUAGCAAAGUUUUCUUAUCUAUGUUCAAUGCCACUACAAUAUGUUUCUUGAUUUUCUUAUAUUGUUUAAUUAGAGUUCUUUCCAUCGAUAGUUUGAUAGCACGAGCUUUGGCCUAUUAGUUGAAUGGGGAAAACUGCAAUGAUAUGUAGAACUCUAUGUGAGAUAAAGGAAAGAGCAUCCCUCCUUGGGGAUGCAAUAAUAAUCAGGAAUUACGAUGUAGUUAGUUUGACAUGAUCCUCACUGAUCAGAAGGUCUCCAUUGGCUGCCUAUGCAGUACGUUAAUUAUGAAAGUUUCUACUUACGUGGUUCCUCUCUUGUAUUUCUAAAAUUAUCCAAAUAGAUGAUUUUUCGGCAUUCUAAUAUAAGACAUUCAUAUGUAAAUUUCUUGCAAUCGUAACUACAGAAACUAAUAAUAUGUACUAUGAUGUUUCCCUUUAAGGUUCAAGUAUUUUGAUUUUCGAGCUGACACUUGCAGAAAAUACAACAAGGUAUUUGCAGCUAAAAGUUGUGUACUUAGGUUAAUACCAUACAUGUGGUAUAUGUGGCUCACGUAGAAGUGAUAAUAUGAUCUAUUUGAUGCAUUUUAGGCAUCUAGAUUUGAAUUGUUCUCUACUAUGAGUUUAUGUUUGUUCUCUAUAAAUGAUGAGUUGAACAUAUUGCUGUUCUAGAUGUAUUAGUUUGUAUUUCCUAUUUGGCAUACAUAUAUAUCUCAUACAUCCGGAUGCCACUGUAGGUGCAUGCUGCCAUGUCCAGCCAAAUGGUCAUAAACACUUCUUUUGUUUAAUUGCUCAAUAGUUAUAAGAGACAUCGUGUAAUUUAGUAGUGGGUCUGCUGAGUGUUUCCGUGGUAUGUAUCACUUCCAUUAUGACUCGAUUUGUCUUCCCUAGGUAUGUUUGAAUUUUUAUUUUUCCCAACAAAUAUAUUAUUAUAUGAUUAUCUCUAUUUGUUGUAAUUAAACUUGACAUAUAAAAAUAUUCUUUGAAUCAUUAUAACGCUACUUAUCCAUAAGUACUUAACCCUAUUAUUCAUUCAGCUAUCAAUAGAUCAACAACAUUUAUUUACUAUCUUUCUAAGCUACUGAAAAGUCGGCCUGAUAAUAAUAUGGUAAAGGAUCAAAUAAAAAAUGGUUUGACAACUCCAAGAUAAUACGAAAUACAGACCCAUCUGAAUUUUCAGUUAUGUAAAGAGCAUACAUCUUAAGCCGUAUGCUUCUCAGUAUAUGUGAGGUACUUAUAUAGAGAAAAUAUGUCACAUUAUUGCUAUAACAGUUUUAAUUAUUUAUACAAGUAAGAAACUAUAUGCGAUCAAAGUUGUAAUUUCCCUCAUUAAAGCUCAUAGCUAUUUUCCCCCGCAAUGCUUUGGUAACAAACUUAGUUUUUUUUUUUUGUACUACAAUUAAUAUAAAAGUCUAGCCUCCAUUUUAGGGAAACACGGUAGAUGGGGCUGUGUACCAGCAAAAUGUGUCGAUCAAUUCAGAGACUAAUUGAAGGAAGGCUUGAUCUACACUUGAGAUGUUAAUUGUUGCAGGAGCACAGGAAAAAUUGCAGAAUGGCAGGGCAUCCGUACAUAAUCAACUUUGCUUAAUGCCCACUGAUUCAGGAAGUUACUCAUCAGCAUGAGAGUUUCCCUCUGUUUGCAUAUAAGGCUUAUCCAUUUGAUGUUCUAGAAGCAUGUAUAGCAGAUGCGUACUUUAAGGUUUCCCUUAUCUUGCACUACAGAUGCCAUCAGGGUUUUUGUGUGUCAAAAUCAUAAGAAGAACCUCUAAUAAAAGUUAUAUCAAACUAGCAUAGCAUCUGUCUAUGUUUUUCUUCGCCUCUAUAGCAGACCUUUUCUAGCAUAGGUCGUAGUUGUUGAAUGAAUUUGUUUUGCUCUAAAAAUAUAUAAUUUUGUGUUAGGUGUAUAUCUUAAAUUGUUACAUAACUAUUACAUUUGUUACAAUAGAGUAGACUUGUAUCCAUUGCUAGAGUAACAUAAUUUUUUAUGUGCCUAUAUAGUGCAGAAGUCUUGGUACAUCAAUAUGCAUAAAUAUUUGACUUUUCCUGGUUACUUCAGUUCUUUUUUAUUUCAUAUUACUCUUUAAGCAAGUUAGGACUAGAUACCGAUUAUCUAAGCACAUGAUACACUGCUGACCAGUGAAUAUACACUUCUACAAUUAGACACAAUCCAAUCAACAAAUUUCUGUCCAUUUGCCGUAAAAUAAUCCCAGAUCGUGGGAAACAUGUUGUGCAGUCCAAUAAGGUUACUUCUAUCAUCAGAACUUUCUCAGAGCACUUCUGUCAGGUUUCUCAGGUCUUACAUGCAUCCCGGCAAACUCCAUUUCAUGGAAUUUUUUGAAGCUAGCAUUCUAUUGCCAACUAUGACUUCCUUUGUUGAAAACUAAUUUCUGUAAGUAUUAAUAAUUUAAUAUGGAUUACAUGUUUUGAGUUGUUUAUCAUUUUAUCUACUCUCCGAUAUAUUAGGAAUCUCCUUUUUAAAAUGGGGUAUUUGUGUCAUUAUAUAUUCCAAGGAGACAUGAUGUGCAUAGGUGGAAAGACAUUAAGAAAUCUCAAAUAGAAAUUAUAACUCUAUGUAUAAACUGUAUAGUGUAAAAAUGUAGAGAGGGCAUUCGAACUGACCAGAAUAAUUUCAAGUUGUGUUUGUGUAAAUUUAUGUUAAAAUAGAAUUUAUAUUAUAUUGUAGAUGCGCUAGCUUUGCAUUGCUUCGCUGAAGACUAAUGAUUAAGUGAUGCUGGUCAUUUACGCGUAAUGGAUUUCUGAAGAUGCAAGUACCUUGCUUAUAUUGGUUAAUGGGAGAUUUGAAUAGUGUGACUUGCACGAAACAGAAAUUUUGUUAGAUCAGUAGCUUGGAUAAUAUUUUGGACAAUAUUAACAAACCAACUGGUACGCUUAGAAAAGCAAAACAAAUAGUACCAUUACAAUAACAUAAAAAAGAGGAUGGUAGACAUCACAACUAUGGAACAGCAAAUCUGCUAUAAUGUAUCUGUUGGUAAAAGAGGGGUCACCCAUUGUUCCUGAGAGGUAUAUUAACUUAUGCAAACGAGAAAGUAAAUAAGCUUAGGAAGGGUUAUGUACUUAUUAGUAAAUGGAACAAAGCAGACAAUCCAGGAAACUGCUAUGCAUGUACUUCAGUAUAUCCAGCUGAUUAUUAAAUGUUUGAUUGUUAAAUACACACUUAGUUAAUUGAAGCCCUUUCAUGCUCCAUCACUUCCAGGAUCUGUCUUUUUUUUUGCAGACAAGAUCAGAUGGCCCAGCUCAUCUUCCUGAUGUAUAGCAGUGCCUACGCUGGAGCUAUGAGCUUAUCUGCCAUUUACUUUUAUAGUUGGUUUUGAAACACACUUACACAUGGUAGUCUGUGCUGAAUCAUUUUGCGUUGUGCAUUUUUCUGUGCAAGUGCCGUGCCAUAUAAUCAGUCUUAACUUUGUUUGACCAUUACAUAAGAAUAAUAAUGAAUCACGCAGCAAGGCUGUGAAUAGCUGACAUGCCCUCCUACAUUUCUGUCAAAUUUUUGCCAUUAGGAUUUAUGUUCGAGGAAAAAAAUUCGAGGAAACAUUAGGAUUUAUUUGGCUGCAAAACAUUUUGUCUUUUUUUGUUGUCUGGCUGAAAAGAUGCUUUUCGCUAUUGCAAAUUAGGGUUCUGCAUUCCUGUAUAUUUUUGCGAGUAACCAACUCUCUAAACGGCUGUUGUUUGUCGAAACACCUGGCGGGGAGCAUCACAUGGAUGACAGGUUUGUAUGACUGCUCCUGUUGGCGAGCCCAAGAGUCUCCCAAAUCUCUUCCAGUUGCUAAAUGCCAUGUAAACCACAUAGUAUACAUUUCCUCCCAGUGAACCUGCCUUAUGAAUUAUGUAGCCAUAUCUUAUCAAUAUUAGUACCACUAGCUUAUCCGUACUACUCUGAUGCUAUGCAAGCUAAAUUGUAUUGUUUUAUUUGCAGUCUGUCUUAACAAAGAGGGUCCUCACGUCAUUACAGGCACUUCUUCACGGGAUCAGGGUGUGGAUGGCAAUGCAUGUCUCUAAAUUUAGGAUCAAGAUUCUGUUCUAUGAUAAUUAAUUAAGUAAAAUGUUAGAGUUGGAUGUUUGGACACUGACAGUGGUCUGCUUGUAUUUUUCUGUUCUAUUUUUCUACCAUUGUCCCACUAAACUUUUACAUAUGUACUUCUUUUGAAACUAAACUUUUAUAUCCAAUGUUUAUGACA